ACCAAAAUAGCAGGCAAAUGAAAUCAAACCGUGGAAUCGGAUCCGGUUUCCGUUUGUCUGCUAGCUUAGAUUAAUCCUUUGGUCUAAAUCAGAAUGCCGUUCUCGGCAUGUUCAGAAACAGAAGCCAAAAACCUCCCUUCCGGAUCAAGGGGAAUUAUUUGGGUCAGACCCAUGGAUUGGACUACCUCGUCAAAAAGCUAACUAGAAGAAUAUUCUAGUAUAGAAGAAAAUUGUUUUUCUUAAGGUGCCGAAGAAAACAAAAAUUAAGUUUUUAUGGUGACAACCGAAACAAUUUCGAGCUUCGCGGAAGAGAUGGAGACGGAAAUAGUGGUAACCGAUGGGAUGAGAAACCAAGAUGAUCGAGGAAUUUCCGAUUUGGAUAAGAUUGGAUUGAACAGCUAUGACCCGCAAGUACCCUGCUGCCAAACUCGAGCGUUUCAUAUAUCGAACGGAAUCGUGAAUCAAAAGAAGUCACUCAGUUCCAAACUCACAGCGCUAAAUGAUGUCUUGAUCACUAGAAACACGUAGAGAAUAAAAACAAGUUUUGGUCGGCGAA